rnacentral:rRNA from 1 species
GGGACGGCAAGGAUUGACGGACUGAAGGCUCUUUCUCGAUUCCGUGGAAAGUGGUGCAUGGCCGUUUUUGGUUGGUGGAUCGAUCCGUCUGGUUAAUUCCGUUAACGAACGAGACCUCGGCACUCCGAAUAGCGCGGCGGACGUCGCGGCCUCCGGGCCGUCUUCCGCACGAGCUUCUUAGAGGGACCGUCCCCCGCCGGGGAAGGAGGUGCGAGGCAACGACAGGUCUGUGAUGCCCUUAGAUGUUCUGGGCCGCACGCGCAUUACACUGACGCGUCCAACGGGUGACUCCCGACCCGAAGGGGCCGGGGAAUCCGCAAGGCGCGUCGUGAUGGGGAUUGAACGUUGCAAUUGUUGUUCACGAACGAGGAAGUUCCUAGUAGGCGCGGGUCGAUCAACCCG